GGCUGUGUGCCAGUGAUAAACUGCAUAGCUCAACAUCUUAUCUAUUUUUAAGUGACCAAUCUUUAGAGAUUGUGAAUCUUGAAAAAUCAACAAGGAUGUUUGGAAGACUCUAAAACAUCAGAAUUUGAUAUUCCCAACCAUCACUUAGGAAGAAUGAAUGAAUCUAAGCACUGAUCAUCAUUAUCUCCUGAUAUCAAAGAGAGAAAGGGACCCAUAAAUGGACAGACCUUA